rnacentral:rRNA from 1 species
UACGUAGGGGGCAAGCGUUGUCCGGAAUCAUUGGGCGUAAAGAGCGUGUAGGCGGCCCGGUAAGUCCGCUGUGAAAGUCCAGGGCUCAACCCUGGGAUGCCGGUGGAUACUGUCGGGCUCGAGUCCGGAAGAGGAGUGUGGAAUUCCUGGUGUAGCGGUGAAAUUCGUUGAUAUCAGGAGGAACACCGGCGGCGAAGGCGGCCCCCUGGCCCGCAACUGACGCUCAUGGUCGAAAGCGUGGGGAGCAAACAGG